rnacentral:rRNA from 1 species
GACGAACGCUGGCGGCGUGCCUAAUACAUGCAAGUCGAGCGGACUGAAUGGGAGCUUGCUCUUGUUCGGUCAGCGGCGGACGGGUGAGUAACACGUGGGCAACCUGCCCGCAAGACCGGGAUAACUCCGGGAAACCGGAGCUAAUACCGGAUAACACCGAAGACCGCAUGGUCUUUGGUUGAAAGGCGGCGCAAGCUGCCACUUGCGGAUGGGCCCGCGGCGCAUUAGCUAGUUGGUGAGGUAACGGCUCACCAAGGCGACGAUGCGUAGCCGGCCUGAGAGGGUGACCGGCCACACUGGGACUGAGACACGGCCCAGACUCCUACGGGAGGCAGCAGUAGGGAAUCUUCCGCAAUGGGCGAAAGCCUGACGGAGCGACGCCGCGUGAGCGAAGAAGGCCGUCGGGUCGUAAAGCUCUGUUGUGAGGGACGAAGGAGCGCCGUUUGAAGAAGGCGGCGCGGUGACGGUACCUCACGAGGAAGCCCCGGCUAACUACGUG